rnacentral:rRNA from 1 species
AGACCCGAAACCCGGUGAUCUAGCCAUGGGCAGGUUGAAGGUUGGGUAACACUAACUGGAGGACCGAACCGACUAAUGUUGAAAAAUUAGCGGAUGACUUGUGGCUGGGGGUGAAAGGCCAAUCAAACCGGGAGAUAGCUGGUUCUCCCCGAAAGCUAUUUAGGUAGCGCCUCGUGAAUUCAUCUCCGGGGGUAGAGCACUGUUUCGGCAAGGGGGUCAUCCCGACUUACCAACCCGAUGCAAACUGCGAAUACCGGAGAAUGUUAUCACGGGAGACACACGGCGGGUGCUAACGUCCGUCGUGAAGAGGGAAACAACCCAGACCGCCAGCUAAGGUCCCAAAGUCAUGGUUAAGUGGGAAACGAUGUGGGAAGGCCCAGACAGCCAGGAUGUUGGCUUAGAAGCAGCCAUCAUUUAAAGAAAGCGUAAUAGCUCACUGGUCGAGUCGGCCUGCGCGGAAGAUGUAACGGGGCUAAACCAUGCACCGAAGCUGCGGCAGCGACACUGUGUGUUGUUGGGUAGGGGAGCGUUCUGUAAGCCUGUGAAGGUGUGCUGUGAGGCAUGCUGGAGGUAUCAGAAGUGCGAAUGCUGACAUAAGUAACGAUAAAGCGGGUGAAAAGCCCGCUCGCCGGAAGACCAAGGGUUCCUGUCCAACGUUAAUCGGGGCAGGGUGAGUCGACCCCUAAGGCGAGGCCGAAAGGCGUAGUCGAUGGGAAACAGGUUAAUAUUCCUGUACUUGGUGUUACUGCGAAGGGGGGACGGAGAAGGCUAUGUUGGCCGGGCGACGGUUGUCCCGGUUUAAGCGUGUAGGCUGGUUUUCCAGGCAAAUCCGGAAAAUCAAGGCUGAGGCGUGAUGACGAGGCACUACGGUGCUGAAGCAACAAAUGCCCUGCUUCCAGGAAAAGCCUCUAAGCAUCAGGUAACAUCAAAUCGUACCCCAAACCGACACAGGUGGUCAGGUAGAGAAUACCAAGGCGCUUGAGAGAACUCGGGUGAAGGAACUAGGCAAAAUGGUGCCGUAACUUCGGGAGAAGGCACGCUGAUAUGUAGGUGAAGUCCCUCGCGGAUGG